UACGGGGGGGGCAAGCGUUGUUCGGAAUCAUUGGGCGUAAAGGGCGCGUAGGUGGCCCCUCAAGCGGGCGGUGAAAGUCGGGGGCUCAACCCCCGAUCGGCCGUGCGAACUGGGGGGCUGGAGCACUGUAGAGGCAGGCGGAAUUCCUAGUGUAGAGGUGAAAUUCGUAGAUAUUAGGAAGAACACCGGUGGCGAAGGCGGCCCACUGGAUCGGUACUGACGCUGAGGUGCGAAAGCGUGGGGAGCGAACAGG
rnacentral:rRNA from 1 species